rnacentral:rRNA from 1 species
AUUGAACGCUGGCGGCAUGCUUUACACAUGCAAGUCGAACGGUAACAGGCCGCAAGGUGCUGACGAGUGGCGAACGGGUGAGUAAUGCAUCGGAACGUGCCCAGUCGUGGGGGAUAACUACUCGAAAGAGUAGCUAAUACCGCAUACGAUCUAUGGAUGAAAGCGGGGGACCGUAAGGCCUCGCGCGAUUGGAGCGGCCGAUGUCAGAUUAGGUAGUUGGUGGGGUAAAGGCUCACCAAGCCAACGAUCUGUAGCUGGUCUGAGAGGACGACCAGCCACACUGGGACUGAGACACGGCCCAGACUCCUACGGGAGGCAGCAGUGGGGAAUUUUGGACAACGGGCGCAAGCCUGAUCCAGCAAUGCCGCGUGCAGGAAGAAGGCCUUCGGGUUGUAAACUGCUUUUGUACGGAACGAAACGGCUCUGGUUAAUACCCGGGGCUAAUGACGGUACCGUAAGAAUAAGCACCGGCUAACUACGUG